ensembl:lincRNA
AUGCUUCAAAAAAAUUUUGAGGUGGGGAAAGAUUUAAAUACAACUUAAUAAUGUACUGCCAUUUAGUAAAUUUGCAUUGUAAGUGAAGAAAAAGAAACACCUCAGGUGAUAAUGAAGGUUUACUGCUUGCAUAUGUCAAAUUUGUAAGGGAUGAAAAGCCACAGAGGAAAUGUUGCUUUCAAAAUUACUGACAAUGAAUAUAAACACAUUUCCAUUGCCUGAAACUCUUAAAAUUUAUUAAAACAGUGCAUUUCUCAGAGUCAUCGCCUCUGCUGCAGAUGGAACAGCAGCCAUGGAGAAUAAGGGUCACCUGAAUGUGGAAAAGUUGAGUUGGAGCAAAACUGGCAUGGCCGUACUGGAUGGACCUCAGCAUGACCAGGACACAUUUCAGCUCAAAUCCCCUGUGCCAAGAACACAUUCUGCCAAGGACCACCACCUCUUCCCACAACUAUGAGUGGAUUUAUGUCAUCACAGGAGGUGCAAAAACGUGUGGUGAGCUAUUUCCAAGACCGCAACCUAGAAAUUGUGAGAAGCCUACCCAGGACCACAGUGACAACGCAGUCUUCAGUGGUUCAGCCUCCUGCCCCCUCCCAGUGCUGGUGUUCCCAAAUGCAAGGGGAUUUCAGACAUUCAGCUUUUCAUUUACCUCCAAGGCACAGAUGCCGAGAUGUCCCCAUGUCUGUCUUCAGAGUCUCAUUUGCAAAUUGGCAGCUUCAUACCACUCUCGCUAUCUGCAUUGCUAUAUUUACACCUGAGCUGAUGUGUACCCGGGGAAAGUGUGCUAUGACCCAGUGCUUGGGUGGCUUAUCUAAAGCCAUCCAGAGUCUCUAACUCCUGGUACAUGGGGAGCCUUUCUGGGUCAUCUUCUCAGCUCUGCGCAGCCACUAAUGCUUGCCUUUUAAGACUGUAGAUGAAAAGGGUCAAACUCUGAAAAAUAUUUGAAGAGAAUUCUUCUGAGCCAAAUAUAAGGCACCAAUAGCCUGUGACACAGCUCUAGGAGAUCAUGAG